UGGGGAAUAUUGGACAAUGGGCGCAAGCCUGAUCCAGCCAUGCCGCGUGGGUGAAGAAGGCCUUCGGGUUGUAAAGCCCUUUUGUCCGGAAAGAAAUCCUGUCGGUUAAUACCCGGCGGGGAUGACGGUACCGGAAGAAUAAGCACCGGCUAACUUCGUGCCAGCAGCCGCGGUAAUACGAAGGGUGCAAGCGUUACUCGGAAUUACUGGGCGUAAAGCGUGCGUAGGCGGUUCGUUAAGUCCGAUGUGAAAGCCCUGGGCUCAACCUGGGAACUGCAUUGGAUACUGGCGAGCUAGAGUGCGGUAGAGGACGGUGGAAUUCCCGGUGUGGCGGUGAAAUGCGUAGAGAUCGGGAGGAACACCAGUGGCGAAGGCGGCCAUCUGGACCAGCACUGACGCUGAGGCACGAAAGCGUGGGGAGCAAACA
rnacentral:rRNA from 1 species